rnacentral:rRNA from 1 species
GACGAACGCUGGCGGCGUGCCUAACACAUGCAAGUGGAGCGACGAACCGGGCUUCGGCCCGGGGCCAAGCCGCGAACGGGUGAGUAACACGUGGGUAACCUGCCCUGAUGAUUGGGACAACCCGAGGAAACUCGGGCUAAUACCGAAUGUGCCCUCCGACCAUAAGGUCUGCGGGGAAAGGAAGCUUCGGCCUCCGCAUCGGGAUGGGCCCGCGGCGCAUUAGCUUGUUGGUGGGGUAACGCUCACCAAGGCGACGAUGCGUAGCUGGUCUGAGAGGACGAUCAGCCACACUGGGACUGAGACACGGCCCAGACUCCUACGGGAGGCAGCAGUGGGGAAUCUUGCGCAAUGCGCGAAAGCGUGACGCAGCAACGCCGCGUGGGGGAAGACGGCCU